CUUUGGAAUGCAGCUAAACUCAACAAAAGUCUUUGUCCCAAUUACUUCGGGUUAACUAAAGGGAUCCAUUUCCACCAAUUGUUUCUAUUUGCAAUCUUAUCAAUCUGUAUCUGGGAGAUUGGGAACAGAAUGUCAUGCUUCCCUGAACUGCAUGAACUUUGAUUAACUCAUUCAUUAUGCUCUCCGCUUCUCUCCUUCUAUUGACAACCUUGGGAAGGUUGAUUCUUUUGCUGUUGCUCGUGACAAUGAAAUGCAUGAAGCUACACGUAGAAUCUUAUCAGUGUUAUUACGGCAGAUUGAUGGAUUUGAGCAGGAGAAAAAAAGUGGUGGUCAUUGCUGCAACCAACAGAAAGCAAGACCUUGAUCCUGCUUUGAUUAGG